AGAGUUUGAUCCUGGCUCAGAUUGAACGCUGGCGGCAUGCUUUACACAUGCAAGUCGAACGGCAGCACGGGGGCAACCCUGGUGGCGAGUGGCGAACGGGUGAGUAAUAUAUCGGAACGUACCCAAGAGUGGGGGAUAACGUAGCGAAAGUUACGCUAAUACCGCAUACGAUCCAAGGAUGAAAGCAGGGGACCGCAAGGCCUUGCGCGAACGGAGCGGCCGAUGGCAGAUUAGGUAGUUGGUGGGAUAAAAGCUUACCAAGCCGACGAUCUGUAGCUGGUCUGAGAGGACGACCAGCCACACUGGAACUGAGACACGGUCCAGACUCCUACGGGAGGCAGCAGUGGGGAAUAUUGGACAAUGGGCGAAAGCCUGAUCCAGCAAUGCCGCGUGAGUGAAGAAGGCCUUCGGGUUGUAAAGCUCUUUUGUCAGGGAAGAAACGGCUGAGGAUAAUACCUUUGGCUAAUGACGGUACCUGAAGAAUAAGCACCGGCUAACUACGUGCCAGCAGCCGCGGUAAUACGUAGGGUGCAAGCGUUAAUCGGAAUUACUGGGCGUAAAGCGUGCGCAGGCGGUUUUGUAAGUCUGACGUGAAAUCCCCGGGCUCAACCUGGGAAUUGCGUUGGAGACUGCAAGGCUGGAGUCUGGCAGAGGGGGGUAGAAUUCCACGUGUAGCAGUGAAAUGCGUAGAGAUGUGGAGGAACACCGAUGGCGAAGGCAGCCCCCUGGGUCAAGACUGACGCUCAUGCACGAAAGCGUGGGGAGCAAACAGGAUUAGAUACCCUGGUAGUCCACGCCCUAAACGAUGUCUACUAGUUGU
rnacentral:rRNA from 1 species